GAUGAACGCUGGCUACAGGCUUAACACAUGCAAGUCGAGGGGAAACGACGGGGAAGCUUGCUUCCCCGGGCGUCGACCGGCGCACGGGUGAGUAACGCGUAUCCAACCUGCCUCUGACUGAGGAAUAACCCGUCGAAAGUCGGCCUAAUACCUCAUGGCAUCGUCUGCGGGCAUCCAACGACGAUUAAAGAUUUCAUCGGUCAGGGAUGGGGAUGCGUCUGAUUAGCUUGUUGGCGGGGUAACGGCCCACCAAGGCUACGAUCAGUAGGGGUUCUGAGAGGAAGGUCCCCCACAUUGGAACUGAGACACGGUCCAAACUCCUACGGGAGGCAGCAGUGAGGAAUAUUGGUCAAUGGGCGGGAGCCUGAACCAGCCAAGUAGCGUGCAGGAUGACGGCCCUAUGGGUUGUAAACUGCUUUUAUGCGGGGAUAAAGUGAGGGACGUGUCCUUCAUUGCAGGUACCGCAUGAAUAAGGACCGGCUAAUUCCGUG
rnacentral:rRNA from 1 species